GGCGGCGUAGCCAAGUGGUAAGGCAAGGGUCUGCAAAACCUUCAUCCCCCAGUUCAAAUCUGGGCGUCGCCU
rnacentral:tRNA from 2 species